rnacentral:rRNA from 1 species
GAAAAGAACUUUGAAAAGAGAGUUAAACAGUACGUGAAAUUGUUGAAAGGGAAACGAUUGAAGCCAGUCGUACCUAUGGGUAAUCAGCCUUUUGGGUGUGAUUUUGUGGAGCGUGAAGAGUUAAACGCCUUCAUGCCUGCAUAUUCGUGCACUUUGGGUGUACUUGCCCGUGUGUAAGUUAACAUCAAUUUUGGUGGUCAUAAAAUGGCUGGAGGAAUGUAGCUUCGAUCUUGUAUUGAAGUGUUAUAGCCUUCGGUAGAUGUGACGAUCGGGAUUGAGGAUUGCAACGGAUACCCUUCGGGGCUACCUGUCUGAUCUCUGAUUGUUGCUCUGGUGCCGAAAGCUUGCUUACGGUUAUUAAAGUCGAUGGUCAAUAGGUUAGAAUGGGUUAAAUUCGUUA